CCUACGGGGGGCUGCAGUGGGGAAUUUUGGACAAUGGGCGCAAGCCUGAUCCAGCCAUUCCGCGUGAGUGAAGAAGGCCUUCGGGUUGUAAAGCUCUUUCGCAAGGGAAGAAAACUUAUCCUCUAACAUAGGAUGAGGUUGACGGUACCUUGAUAAGAAGCACCGGCUAACUACGUGCCAUCAGCCGCGGUAAUACGUAGGGUGCGAGCGUUCGUCGGAAUUACUGAGGGUAAUUUGUGAGCCAGCUGUGAAAUCCCCGAGCUCAACUUGGGAACUGCGUUUGAAACUACAAGACUAGAGUAGGUCAGAGGGGGGUAGAAUUCCACGUGUAGAAGUGAAAUGCGUAGAGAUGUGGAGGAAGAUCAAUGGCGAAGGCAGCCCCCUGGGAUCAUAUUGACGCUCAGGCACGAAAGCGUGGGGAGCAAACAGGAUUAGAUACCCCAGUAGUC
rnacentral:rRNA from 1 species